rnacentral:rRNA from 1 species
GAUGAACGCUGGCGGCGUGCCUAAUACAUGCAAGUCGAGCGAACGGACGAGAAGCUUGCUUCUCUGAUGUUAGCGGCGGACGGGUGAGUAACACGUGGAUAACCUACCUAUAAGACUGGGAUAACUUCGGGAAACCGGAGCUAAUACCGGAUAAUAUUUUGAACCGCAUGGUUCAAAAGUGAAAGACGGUCUUGCUGUCACUUAUAGAUGGAUCCGCGCUGCAUUAGCUAGUUGGUAAGGUAACGGCUUACCAAGGCAACGAUGCAUAGCCGACCUGAGAGUGUGAUCGGCCAAACUGGAACUGAGACACGGUCCAGACUCCUACGGGAGGCAGCAGUAGGGAAUCUUCCGCAAUGGGCGAAAGCCUGACGGAGCAACGCCGCGUGAGUGAUGAAGGUCUUCGGAUCGUAAAACUCUGUUAUUAGGGAAGAACAUAUGUGUAAGUAACUGUGCACAUCUUGACGGUACCUAAUCAGAAAUCCACGGCUAAAUGCGUG